rnacentral:lncRNA from 1 species
AGAAAUCUUCAUCGAUGUAUUUAUGAGAUCCUUUGCUUCUGAAAUACAAUCUUGAGUAGAUCAUUAUUGUAGAAAGUUAAAAUCUUGCUUCUUUAUUGAUUGGAUCUGAACAUUUUAAUUGUAGUCUGAUGCCCUAAUCUUAGAUGGUUUCUCAAUCAUCUACAGUCUGAAUCUAGAUCUAGGGGCUGUUUAACAUGCAUGCAUAUCAAUGGUUUUUUUCUGAUUUAAGCAUAAUCAACUCAUUAGUCUUUGGUUUGCUAGCUAUCUAUUAAUUGUUAAUAAAUUUGAAUACUUGCUUCCUUUAGAUUUGAAUCAUCCCAUAUCACCAAUUUAUCCGGAUGGAGCACAAAGGGGCAUAUUGGAUAUCUCUAUUGUGGAGAUUUUAUCCAUUCAUAAUGGUUAAAAUAUGGAGGUAAGUUCUGCUA